AUUGAACGCUGGCGGCAGGCCUAACACAUGCAAGUCGAGCGGAUGAAGGGAGCUUGCUCCUGGAUUCAGCGGCGGACGGGUGAGUAAUGCCUAGGAAUCUGCCUGGUAGUGGGGGAUAACGUCCGGAAACGGGCGCUAAUACCGCAUACGUCCUGAGGGAGAAAGUGGGGGAUCUUCGGACCUCACGCUAUCAGAUGAGCCUAGGUCGGAUUAGCUAGUUGGUGGGGUAAAGGCCUACCAAGGCGACGAUCCGUAACUGGUCUGAGAGGAUGAUCAGUCACACUAGAACUGGGACACGGUCCAGACUCCUACGGGAGGCAGCAGUGGGGAAUAUUGGACAAUGGGCGAAAGCCUGAUCCAGCCUUGCCGCGUGUGUGAAGAAGGUCUUCGGAUUGUAAAGCACUUUAAGUUGGGAGGAAGGGCAGUAAGUUAAUACCUUGCUGUUUUGACGUUACCAACAGAAUAAGCACCGGCUAACUUCGUG
rnacentral:rRNA from 1 species